rnacentral:rRNA from 1 species
UACGUAGGGUGCGAGCGUUGUCCGGAAUUAUUGGGCGUAAAGGGCUCGUAGGCGGUUUGUCGCGUCGGGAGUGAAAACUCAGGGCUUAACCCUGAGCCUGCUUCCGAUACGGGCAGACUAGAGGUAUGCAGGGGAGAACGGAAUUCCUGGUGUAGCGGUGAAAUGCGCAGAUAUCAGGAGGAACACCGAUGGCGAAGGCAGAUCUCUGGGCCAUUACUGACGCUGAGGAGCGAAAGCAUGGGGAGCGAACAGG